CACCGUCGUUCAUGGACGUCAGCAAUGC
rnacentral:sRNA from 1 species